GGGUAGAGAAGUGGGACCCACGCAUUUCACCAAUGGGUAGUAGGAACGAAGCAUUAGAUGCUGCUCCUUAUUUUCCUCCGUUUAAUCUGAACUUUGCGUAAUACUCUCUUACCAAUUUACCUUUUUUCUCUCUCAUAUUUUCUCAGGUAACAAUUUUCUCACUAAAGCUUACAUUUUCCCGGAAAAUGCCGGAAUUUUCUAUUUUGUCGCCGGAAUUUUCCAUUUCCUUUUUACACCUUUGCUUAUAACAUAAACUUUAUUUUUUUUGAAGUAAUAGUAGUUUCCUUCAUCCUUCUUCGUAGAUCUUCAAGUUUAGAAUUCUGUGACUUGUCAUUUUUUAGAAGAAAAAAAAAUAUUGGUAUGAUAGGUUAAAUUUUGUUUUUUUGGCUAUAUAUUACUGUAUUGGUUUUUUCAAUUGUGAAAAUUAUGGAUGAUAAUUUUUCCAGAUGAGUCGAUGUUAACUGUCAGGUCGAUAUGAUUUGUUGUUGGUGUGAAGGUGUGGAGUGGAAAACUAAUUGACCGUACAAAUGGAGAUUAUGCUUAACAACACUGUGCUAACGUGCGCUUCCACGCUUUUACCCUCCACUCAGGAUGGUGUGCCACUGUUGGCAAUUGAGACCAAAGUCGAGGGAGAUCAGAACACAAAUGAUGAGCAGACCAAAGUAGUUGAUGCUGAUGAGGAAGGUGGAGAUGGAGACGACAACGAUGAGAAUGGAAAUGAAGGCUUUGAGGAGGGUGAAGAAGAGUACUCUGAUGAAGGGGUUCAUGGAAACAAAAGCAAAGGAAAUGCCAAGAAAAGCAAUGGAGAAGGUGAGGAGAACGGAGAUGCAGAAGAUGAAGAGGAUGUUGGUGAAGAAGGUCAUGAUGAUGACGGUGACGACGACGAUGAUGGCGACGAUGAUAAUGAUGAUGAUGAAGAAGCUGAAGAAGGAGAGGGUGAAGAAGAAGUCGUAGAGGACGACGAUCCAGAAGAUGAUGAUGAAGAGGAUGAAGAAGAAGAAGCUAUCCAGCCUCCAAAGAAGAGGAAGAAGUGAACAAAUGACCACCUGAAGUUAGUUUAACUUUGACAAGGAGAAUCAUCCAUUAUGCUUUUUAAUUACCUUGCAUUUGAAGUUAUCAAGAACUUUGGAGCUUUUAUUUGAGCAAACAAGAUUCUCCCUUCAAUUUUUAACAUGCCUCGUUAUCAAGUAAAUUAUCUAUCACCAAUAGUUUCUACUUGCACACAAGAUCAAGAAAAUCUACGAAAUCAUUGAUAUAAUACUCAGCUCUGAAUAUCAUCAUUUGAUUAAUGGAUAAAUUAAUCAAUAGUUUCUGAGUAUGAUCAUUUCAAAUUAUUGUUGUUGAAAAGUUAUUCGAUUCUUCAUUUCAAAUUAAAAUAGGUCCACCUUUUGAUUAAAGCUAGACAAGAACCAACACUUCUGAUGUUUGAC
rnacentral:lncRNA from 1 species